rnacentral:lncRNA from 1 species
UGGGGCCUAUGGGGCGCUAUGGGUCUCUAUGGGGCUCCAUGGGGCACUAUGGGGUACUGUCGGACUCUAUGGGGCACUAUGAGGCUCUAUGGGGCACUAUGGGGCUCUAUGGGGCACUGGUGGGCUCUAUGGGGCUCUAUGGGGUAUCUAUGGGGUUCUAUGGGGCUCUAUGGGUCUCUAUGGGGCUCUAUAGGUCUCUAUGGGUCUCUAUGGGGCUCUAUGGGUCUCUAUGGGGCUCUAUAGGUCUCUAUGGGUCUCUAUGGGGCUCUAUGGGUCUCUGUGGGGAUCUGUGGGGCUCUAUGGGGUCUCUAUGGGGCACUGUGGAGCCCCCAUAGAGACGCUCAGAGCCCCAUAGAGACCACAUAGAGCCCCCACCCCUUCCUAAGCCCCGCCCUCUCACUAAGCUCCUCCCCUUCCUUUCGAAGCCACGCCCACAACGUUAAGCCACGCCCCCCUCGACGAGCCCCACCCCUUCCUAAGCCCUGCCCCUCAAUAAGCCCCGCCCCUCACUAAAGCCACGCCCCCUCCCUUUCCCA